AUUGAACGCUGGCGGCAGGCUUAACACAUGCAAGUCGAGCGGAGAUGAGGUGCUUGCACCUUAUCUUAGCGGCGGACGGGUGAGUAAUGCUUAGGAAUCUGCCUAUUAGUGGGGGACAACAUUCCGAAAGGAAUGCUAAUACCGCAUACGCCCUACGGGGGAAAGCAGGGGAUCUUCGGACCUUGCGCUAAUAUAUGAGCCUAAGUCGGAUUAGCUAGUUGGUGGGGUAAAGGCCUACCAAGGCGACGAUCUGUAGCGGGUCUGAGAGGAUGAUCCGCCACACUGGGACUGAGACACGGCCCAGACUCCUACGGGAGGCAGCAGUGGGGAAUAUUGGACAAUGGGCGGAAGCCUGAUCCAGCCAUGCCGCGUGUGUGAAGAAGGCCUUUUGGUUGUAAAGCACUUUAAGCGAGGAGGAGGCUACCUGGAUUAAUACUCUAGGAUAGUGGACGUUACUCGCAGAAUAAGCACCGGCUAACUACGUGCCAGCAGCCGCCGUAAAAC
rnacentral:rRNA from 1 species